rnacentral:misc_RNA from 1 species
AGGUGAACCUGCGGAAGGAUCAUUACCAAUCCAACCUUACAUACAACUGUGCACUUGUUUAUGUCCUUGGGAGGAAGUAGGUUUGUUGCAGCCUCGAGUUGCAGCUAGCCAAGCGCCUCCCAAAUGUUUUAAACAACUGUUAAACAAUUUUGUUGACAAACUUUUCUGCUGCUUCUCAGCACAGAAAUAUUUUAACAAAAUACAACUUUUAACGGUGGAUCUCUUGGCUCAUG